UACGAGGGGUGCAAGCGUUAUUCGGAUUUACUGGGCGUAAAGGAUGUGUAGACGGUUUGCUAAGUCUGUUGUUAAAUACUCCGGCUUAACUGGAGAUCAGCAGUGGAAACUAGCAGACUAGAGGGUGGGAGAGAGAAGUGGAAUUCCCGGAGUAGCGGUAAAAUGCGCAGAUAUCAGGAGGAACACCGAUGGCGAAGGCAGGUCUCUGGGCCACUACUGACGCUGAGAAGCGAAAGCGUGGGGAGCGAACAGG
rnacentral:rRNA from 1 species